GGGGACAAUCCUUGGGAUGGAAGUGUGAAGAUUGAAUUGACAUGUACAUCCCCGGCCCAAAGCUGUUGAUGAUAACUGAUGACAUCUGGUUCAUGUUUUUGAGGCUUUCAAUUCGAACAGAUUUAGACCCCUCCGCCAUCCCCCAGAAAAGUUAUUCUGCGAUCCAAAAUUUCUCCCACAAUUCCUAUAACUGUUACCCAUUAGUAUGUGGUGCAUGUUGCAGUCAAUUCCUACGCCUUAUAAAACUGAUUACUGGUCGCAGACCUGACCAAUCUCUUGAGUUUGAGCCCUCACCACAUGAUCCAUGA
rnacentral:lncRNA from 1 species